rnacentral:rRNA from 1 species
AGUCGUACGGGAGCAAUCACAGUCGAAGCUCCCGGAUNGGAACACGAAUCUCAACCGGAAGCCCGAUUCGUCGGGUGGAAGGGGCGGGCUCGGUCUACUGAAGGGAUUGGACCGGAUCACAGAGGUUAGUGGCAAACGGCUGAGUAACGCGUAACCAACCUGUCCCGUGUGUGGGGGACAACCUCGAGAAAUCGUGGCUAAUACCGCAUAACAUGGCUCUUCGAAGGGAGGGUCAUCAAAGACUUCGGUCGCAUCGGGAGGGGGUUGCGUUUUAUCAGGUAGUUGGUGAGGUAACGGCUCACCAAGCCUACGACGAAUUGCUGGUCUGAGAGGAUGAUCAGCCAGACGGGGACUGAGACACGGCCCCGACUCCUACGGGAGGCAGCAGCAGGGAAUCUUGCGCAAUGGGCGAAAGCCUGACGCAGCGACGUCGCGUGGGGGAUGAAUGCCUUAGGGUUGUAAACCCCUUUUGUUUGGGGCGAAGUUCUGACGGUACCAAACGAAUAAGCCUCGGCUAACUACGUGCCAGCAGCAGCGGUAAUACGUAGGAGGCGAGCGUUGCCCGGAUUUAUUGGGCGUAAAGGGCGCGUAGGCGGCCUGGAAAGUCUUUUGUGAAAUCUCCCGGCUCAACCGGGAGGGGGCAGAGGAAACUACCAGGCUUGAGGGGAGCAGAGGAGAACGGAAUUCCCGGUGUAGCGGUGAAAUGCAUAGAUAUCGGGAGGAACACUUGUGGCGAAAGCGGUUCUCUGGGCUCUUCCUGACGCUGAGGCGCGAAAGCGUGGGGAGCAAACCGGAUUAGAUACCCGGGUAGUCCUCGCCGUAAACAAUGGACACUGGGUACAGGGGGUAUCGACCCCCUCUGUGCCGAAGCUAACGCGUUAAGUGUCCCGCCUGGGGAGUACGGCCGCAAGGCUAAAACUCAA